UACGUAGGGUGCGAGCGUUGUCCGGAAUUACUGGGCGUAAAGGGCUCGUAGGCGGCCCACUACGUCAGACGUGAAAUCCCUCGGCUUAACCGGGGAACUGCCUCUGAUACUGGAUGGCUUGAGAUUGGGAGAGGGAUGCGGAAUUCCAGGUGUAGCGGUGAAAUGCGUAGAUAUCUGGAGGAACACCGGUGGCGAAGGCGGCAUCCUGGACCAACACUGACGCUGAGGAGCGAAAGCCAGGGGAGCAAACGGG
rnacentral:rRNA from 1 species